UUGUGCAAAUGUGGGAUACGCCUUUAAGGUUUCCACAUGACCCCUAGGGUAUUCCUAUCUCACAUAUGAAUCAUCUGGCCAUGUACCAAUGAGACAUUUCGACUUCUGAUUGUUUUCCUUCUAACAAGGCUUCUAGAAUCGUAUUUGAGGCACAUCUGCACUGACUCAGUCAACGCACCAUUUUGCUUCUCUUUGUUUCUGAGUCCCUGGAAAGGGUCUCUGGGUAACACCAGCCAUGGAGCGCCUUUCUUCUUGAUUUGAGUUGACAUUGGUUUGUAAUUGCUAUUCCUGGGAGUCUCAGGACUUUAAGUUAUUUUUCUCUUUUCUUCAGUGGUAGACAUUUAUGUUGGUUCGGAAGAUGCGCUCUGUCUAGGGAGAUUUGGAGACCACUGGGUUCUUUCCCAAGGUUGUUCCCUCCACCUGGCCCAGCGUCUCAGUCAGCUGCUCAACCUCCAACUCCGGAGAAUGCCUAUCCUGUCCAAGGAGUCAGCCCCCGGCCUCAUCAUUGCCACCGGU
rnacentral:lncRNA from 1 species